UACGAGGGGGGCAAGCGUUGUUCGGAAUUAUUGGGCGUAAAGGGCGCGUAGGCGGUGCGGUAAGUCACCUGUGAAACCUCUAGGCUUAACCUAGAGCCUGCAGGCGAAACUGCCGUGCUGGAGUGUGGGAGAGGUGCGUGGAAUUCCCGGUGUAGCGGUGAGAUGCGUAGAUAUCGGGAGGAACACCUGUGGCGAAAGCGGCGCACUGGACCACAACUGACGCUGAUGCGCGAAAGCUAGGGGAGCAAACAGG
rnacentral:rRNA from 1 species